rnacentral:rRNA from 1 species
AUGAACGCUGGCGGCGUGCUUAACACAUGCAAGUCGAACGAUUAACCCGCCCUCGGGCGGUUAUAGAGUGGCGAACGGGUGAGUAACACGUGACCAACCUGCCCCUUGCUCCGGGACAACCCAGGGAAACCUCGGCUAAUACCGGAUACUCCGCGCAGCCCGCAUGGGAGGCGCGGGAAAGCCCAGACGGCAAGGGAUGGGGUCGCGGCCCAUUAGGUAGACGGCGGGGUAACGGCCCACCGUGCCCGCGAUGGGUAGCCGGGUUGAGAGACCGAUCGGCCACAUUGGGACUGAGAUACGGCCCAGACUCCUACGGGAGGCAGCAGUGGGGAAUUUUGCGCAAUGGGGGAAACCCUGACGCAGCAACGCCGCGUGCGGGACGAAGGCCUUCGGGUUGUAAACCGCUUUCAGCAGGGAAUAUAGUGAAGGUACCUGCAGAAGAAGCUCCGGCUAACUACGUGCCAGCAGCCGCGGUAAUACGUAGGGAGCGAGCGUUAUCCGGAUUCAUUGGGCGUAAAGCGCGCGUAGGCGGCCCGUCAAGCGGGGUUUCAAAUCCAGGGGCUCAACCUCUGGCCGGACCCCGAACUGGCGGGCUCGAGUGCGGUAGAGGAAGGUGGAAUUCCCAGUGUAGCGGUGAAAUGCGCAGAUAUUGGGAAGAACACCGAUGGCGAAGGCAGCCUUCUGGGCCGCCACUGACGCUGAGGCGCGAAAGCUAGGGGAGCGAACAGGAUUAGAUACCCUGGUAGUCCUAGCCGUAAACGAUGGGCACUAGGUGUGGGGGAGCAUCUCCUCCGUGCCGCAGCCAACGCAUUAAGU